GCCUGCGUAGCUCAACGGAGAGCAUCUCUAUUUGACUUCCCUGAAAAUUACAAAAGCAAUGUGGGUUCGACUCCCACCACAGGCA